AAUAAAGAUACUAAUAUAACUCCAUAAACAACCAGACAAAUGACGUUAGGGGUCGCUUCCACAGUGGUGUGGCCACGGCGCUUUCGCGGUUUAUUAGAACAGAUAUUCCGGCAGGCCACAACACCACAAGCAGCAUGCUGCUACUAACGUUAGCCUCUGAGCCUGAAGUGAAUGUUGUGGCUGUGUCAUGCUCGCUGCGCGCUAAACUUUCUGCAUUUAGCUAAUACAGAUAAACAAUAGAAAAGGUGCCCAUUUGUGGACCUGACCCAUCCACUUAUUUGUGGUGAAUUUGAAAGUUUACUUUACACAUUUAUUUAGAGUAUAAAAUAUGUAGCCCCCCCAGCCAAAUCAUUAGUUAUUUUUUCAUUAUUUUUUAAUCGGGUUGAGUGUGUGAAAGUCAUGCUAAGGAAUGAUGUAAAAGCAGGCUUUACGGACAUUUUUGUCAUAUUGUAGCUCAGCAACACUAUGUAACUACAGCUCGCGCUACCUGUCGCUUCGGUCUCCCUACAGGUUGUCUCAUUGGAACUACAGCUGCAGCUAACAGCAGCUUUGGUCCCCCUACAGGUUGUCUCAUUGGAACUACAGCUGCAGCUAAAAGUUGCAUAGAGUUGCUUUAAGAACCAUGUAAAAUGUGCCCCAAUAAUUGAUCUGUUAACAUCUUUAUACAUUUAUUUGUCUCUUUUAGUAAUCAUUAUGUUGCAAAAUUUCAGAUCCUGAACAAUUGCUUCGUUGAUGAGUUGUGCUCCUGUCUGGAUAAGACCUACUCAUAAAAGAUCCUGGCUAGGAUAGCCUUUGUCAGCUCCCUCCUUAUUGAUGUGUUAUAGCUGGACUGCGGAGCUUGCAUGUGAUGGAGGCAGAAUUUGUCUUACUACUAUUACAUCCCUUCUCUCAAAUUUCCUUACACAACUUGACCAACGUACUGAGCAGCUCAUGAAAGUGUUCUGCACGACUUGGGAGACUUUGCCUCUGCAUGUGCCCUCAGUUAUCCUAACAGACUGAAAGCCUUCUUUGAAGUACUUCAAAAGCUCUUCCUUCAAAUGGAUUCUUGCAGACUCUCAACCAAGGUACAGCUGCUCAAGAACUAACUGUACGAAUGAGACACUGAUUUGGAUGCUGAAUGUUCCAUAGAACAGGAGAAAUAUUUUGGGCCGAAACUGAAUAAAAUUAUUACCUGUUUGAAAAUAGAGCAGAGAAACUACACUUGAAGAAAACAACCAAUUUUUUUGCAAACUUUUGAAAAACUUUUACCAUACAUGAAAAGUGGUAGUUGAGUGGCACUACUAGAGAAGUGAUGUAGAAUUGAGAGACUAUGCUGCGCAAAAACGGUUGAUAUAUAACUAUGGAUAUUUUGUGGAUGUUUUAACACUAAGCUGCAUCAAAAACAACUGCAAGGAAGUUCAAUCAUCAGACCAUCUUUCAUAUAUCUGUUAAAGAAAUACUACUUUAACAGAGUAUAUGUUUGUUAAAGUGUUAACAUCUAAAAUAAGUUUCCAGUGGCAAGGCUGUUAGAUGGAGAGACUAUUAUUUUGUUGUAAACAAAUAUGAAAACUGUAAAAAGUAUUAUUUAUUAAACUGUAAAAAGUAUAGAAAGUAGAGUUAUUUAUUAAAAAGUGUGAAUUAUUAAUUUGCUAUCAAUCAAUCGAUUAAUAUUUGCAGCUGUUAUUCCAUGUGUUACAAAUGUGUACAUGCAUUUAAAUGUUACUUCAUUGUAUACAAUGUUACUGUAGUGUAUAGAAUUGCACCAAAAUGUUGCUGAAUCACUGCUGUUUUGGUGAAUAAAGGAAAUA